rnacentral:misc_RNA from 1 species
CCAUCAAUUCUUGGGUUGACUGUAUUAGCUUGGGGCAACUCGAUGGGUGAUUUAGUGUCAAACGUUGUCCUGGCAAUGAAUGGUGGUGACAAUGUGCAGAUUGCCUUCUCUGGAAGCUAUGCAGGUCCCAUGUUCAAUACACUUGUUGGCUUGGGGAUCUCAAUGCUGCUAGGAGCCUGGUCACAAAACACUGGCAUUUAUGUGAUUCCUCAAGACAGUAGCUUGUUCUACACUAUGGGUUUUCUCAUGUCAGGAUUAAUUUGGGCACUUGUUGUUUUACCUCAAAAUAACAUGCGUCCCUCCAAGACAUUAGGGGUGGGACUCAUAACCCUAUAUCUGAUUUUUCUUUCAAUAAGGGUGAGUAUUGCCAUGGGAUAUAUUGUGAUUUGACCAAUUGAUUUUGUUUAUCAUUGGAUGGAUCUGUAAAGCCAGUCUUUCCAAACUUUUCUUCUCAUCACGUUUUCAUUUGUAAAAUGGUAAUCUGACAAAUGUUUUUAUAGUAUUUACAUUUGUAGGAUUCGUUUUAGUACUUGCUGUUAGAAUUUGAGCAAUCUCUACAAUGUGCAUGCACAUAGUGAAGUAAUGAAAAUGUAAUGAUACUAAAAGUUUC